UGACUCUGGUUUCUCUUCAUUACGCACAAGCCUUUCGCCUUUUACUAAAGACUUCCGUGGAGAGGAACACUUACGAGUU
rnacentral:snRNA from 13 species